rnacentral:tRNA from 1 species
GGGGAUGUAGCUCAUAUAGUAGAACGCUUGCUUUGUAUGCAAGAGGUACGGGGAUCAAUACCUCGCAUCUCCA